rnacentral:rRNA from 1 species
AACGAACGCUGGCGGCAUGCCUAACACAUGCAAGUCGAACGAGACCUUCGGGUCUAUUGUCGCACGGUUGCGUAACGCGUGGGAACCUUCCCUUAGGUUCGGAAUAACUCCCCGAAAGGGGUGCUAAUACCGGAUAAUGUCUUCGGACCAAAGAUUUAUCGCCUUUGGAUGGGCCCGCGUUUGAUUAGCUUGUUGGUAGGGUAAAAGCAUACCAAGGCGACGAUCCAUAGCUGGUCUGAGAGGAUGAUCAGCCACACUGGGACUGAGACACGGCCCAGACUACUACGGGAGGGAGCAGUGGGGAAUAGUGGAAAAUGGGCGAAAGGCUGAUAAAGCAAUGAGGCGUGAGUGAUGAAGGAAUUAGGGUUGGAAAGCUAUUUUACACGGGAUGAUAAUGACAGUACCGGGAGAAUAAGCGCCGGCUAACUACGUG